GACGAACGCUGGCGGCGUGCUUAACACAUGCAAGUCGAACGGAAAGGCCCUGCUUUCACGGUACUCGAGUGGCGAACGGGUGGGUAACACGUGGGUGGUCUGCCCUGCACUUCGGGGUGAGCUUGGGAAACUGGGUCUAGUAACGGAUAGGAGCCAUCUUUUGUGUGGUGGUUGUAAAUUUUUCGUGGUGUAGGAUGCGCUCGCGGCUUAUCAGCUUGUUUGUUGGGUAAUGGCCUACCAACGCGGCGACGGGUAGCCCGCCCGAGAGGGUGUACGGCGACAAUGGGACUGAGAGACGGCGCAGAAGGCAAUGGGAGGCAGUAGGGGGGAAUAUUACACAAUGGGGGCGAGCCUGAGGCAACGACGCCCCGUGGGGGAUGAACGGCUGUGGGUGGUAAACGCCUUUCGCUAUGGAAGAAGCUUUUUGUGACGGUACCUAGAUAAGAAGCAACGGCUAACUACGUG
rnacentral:rRNA from 1 species